UUCGAUUAGGGUUUCCCUUCCCUCAUUUUCUCUCUCACAUACACACACUGUCGCGCCGUUAGGUCUACAAAUUUCUGAAGAGGGAUCUCAUCUAUAAGAAGAGGCCAAAAAUACCAUUCCAAUCACUCUCCACAACUCAAUUACACAUCAACCAUUUUCACGAUAGAUCCGUAACUUUAAGAAACCCUAAAUUUUGGGGUGGACUCCCUUUAUUUUGGGAGGAAAAAAAAAUCGAGAAUUAAUGAAUGGUGGAAAUCUAACCCUUGAUUGUGCGCCGUCAAGCCCUUGCAUCCCGCAUUCACACUCUGAAAGGUUUUGCUAACAUAAUUAACGAAAAGGACCUGUACCAUCAAAAAGCUUGCUGACAUCGAUAAUUUAGUGGUGGAAAGACAUCUGCUCGGUGAUUCAUAACAUACUGGAAUAUUGAAGAUUUCACAGGGAGGAUAUCCAAGUACAGCAAUUGUUUGGUUCAAACAUGAAAAACUCUUAUUUGCAGGAGAGAAAAGAAAGUUACAAAAAGUGCUCCUUGGCUGUGAUGUGAUCACCUGCAUUCGACAUCCUCGAGUGUGAUUGAAGUCAUUGAUCAAGAGACUGUUGAACAUCAAAGAAGGCAGUUUCUAGGUUGCAAAUGUGUCAAUACUGUUGAGUGAGUUCUUAGAGUGUAGAAUGAUAUCAAUUGUUGGAACAUAAGUGUGGGUAAGACUACCUUGCCAAGAGAAUUUAUAGGAAUCUACCAACUAGAUUUGAUUGUUUUGCCUUAGUAGUCUUUCUCUUGUGAGCCACGAGUAAGGAAGCCUUUUUCUAGAAAUAGCAAAUGUGUAAGCCUGAGGAACAAUCGGAAAAAUUAUGCCGAACAAUCAAACCUAUUUCUUACACUCCUACAAAUACUCUUAGCAAGAGUAGUCUUACCCAUACUUCUAGUCCCAACAAAUGAUGUCAUCUUAUGCUGUGAGUUUUCCCCCAACAGUUCUACCUCUUGUUGCUAAGUUUUCUUCUAAGGUACUGCCUGCUUUGACAUUCAAUGGUAGUAAACUGUAAUUGCCCUAUAUACAGAGUUUAUUUUGCUGAUGUUAUCUUUUCUUUUUUGUCAAUGGAAACUUAUUUGAAUGUGUUUAGCAUUCUCCCUUUCAAAACAAUAACUUAUCGUUAUCGGGUAUCUUGUAAUUUGUAAUUACUCAUAUGUGUGUGAAGAUUUUUUUUUUUUUUC